UACGUAGGGUGCAAGCGUUGUCCGGAAUUAUUGGGCGUAAAGAGCUCGUAGGCGGUUUGUCGCGUCGGGAGUGAAAUCCACUGGCUUAACUGGUGGCUUGCUUUCGAUACGGGCAGACUGGAGGUAUGCAGGGGGAGACUGGAAUUCCUGGUGUAGCGGUGGAAUGCGCAGAUAUCAGGAGGAACACCGGUGGCGAAGGCGGGUCUCUGGGCAGUAACUGACGCUGAGGAGCGAAAGCGUGGGGGAGCGAACAGG
rnacentral:rRNA from 1 species